GGUAGCGAUGAGAGGCUAUGUAAGAGUACAUGGUGGGUUGUCUCAUUGGGACCGUCCUUAAGAACUGAGUUUUGUGUAUGUUAUCCAAGACAAGAUACUACCACACAUUGGGAUACUUAAUUGACCCUCUUGGCUUAUUAAUCGCCUAGAUCUCUGUCCAGGAGUUGCAACUAGUUUCUGGUGUUUGUAGGGAAAGUGUCGGCGGCAAUGUUUAGCUCUGCCCGACGGGUUAGGCUUCUCUGCGGUAGAUACAUAGUGGCACGGUGUACCAAGUGGCACCCGGAUGGAGGGCUUGAGAACCCUGCGCACAUCGUUUGGGGCCGUAGAGGAAACCUCGGCCGGACUUCCUUGCGGCUUCAGUCUCAAAUACGCGAUAAACCUGGAUUAGGGUCUUGUGUGGUUAACGGUCGUGGCCGACACCCAUGCCAGUGCUUCUGCUUGAAGGUUGCCGAGAUGCAUGAUGUGCACAUGGUGAUAAGUGGUGUGAGCGUGUGUAAAUAAGUAUACCCCUGCAGGGUGAUUUAAUCUGUUCGAAUAGCCGCGUCCUCGGAUAUGGACUACUUGGAAACAUUACGUGGUACAUAGACAACUUAAAUGGAUACUCUAAAACGUGCAAGAUAAGUGUGAGUGCUAUAAAAGGCUUUCUCGUAGGAGGACGAGAGUGAAUCCAUAGUGGUGUAUUGAAUGGUGAAUAUGUGGACUCGUGUGCGCUAUCCCACCUCAAGAAAGAACUUGUAGUCGUAGUACAGAUUAGCCAAGAGUCAAAGCUGGCUUGCUGCAAUCAAACCCCACAAUCCUUUCAUUGAAACAUGAUGCAUAUGUAGGUAGUUCUGAUGUAAGUCUUGC
rnacentral:lncRNA from 1 species